AUUAAAAAUAUUGAGGGCAUUAAAGAGCGUCUUGUUGAAUGUGAAGUGAAAGCAUAUUAUGGUCUCUUUCUUAUGUUGGUAGUUUAAACAAAUGCCAUUUAUUUAGGAGGAAAACAUUUCAGACAGCACCAGCUGUUAUCAUUAGCAGAAAUAAAUAGGCCUCUUAUAUGACAUACUUAAAAACACAAAUGCAACAGAAGGUCAUAUCCCAACCCCCCUCAAGUACACUUCACAGAUGCCAUUUUAAUGCAUGCAUGUUUAUGGAGACAUACACAAUACGGUUUACAGCCUAUUAGGCAUCUCAGAGAGUCAAUUUAAGCAUACGGCAUGGACAAGUCUAAUACAGAGCGACAUUCUCAGUCUUAGUGGAGUGCUUUUGAUUGAAUACAAAGCAGCCUAUUCACAGACUAAGAGUACAAAGACGCAUAUGCACACCCACAAGAACCUUACUCAGUCAUUUAGUGGAUGACAACGCCAUUAACAUCCAGUCAACCCUCUCUCUUACACACAGACUCAAUGUAGGCAUUGUAGAGCAAUGCAGCACUGUGAAUGUGCAGUUGUCUAUGAUUCAGUCACAAGGUUAAACUCUUAGUUCGACUGCAGCAGGGAGAAUGUAUCGCUAUUAAAGCUCUUGGCAAUACCGACGGCUAGAGAAUCUGAAGACCAUUAGUUGAAUAUCGGCCAAGAAAGAGACUGUACUGUGUCUCUGAAGAGCAGAGCAUAAAAUAGAAGCCACUUCAGCUGCUCUCCCUGUGGAUAUACUCUCACAUGAUCGCUCGUUGCUCGAUCCUGUGUGUGUACGUAUGUUUGGGCUGGAAAAUUCUUAAAUAAAAGGACAUGCAAACAAAUAAUUAAAUGUUACAGUAAUAUACAGUUUUAUUUGAAUAAAAUUACACUUUAUUUGAUUAGUGAACUAGAAAUAGUGCAGCAUUUUUCUUCAUCACGGUGUUAAAUACGGGACCUUUUUCACGUUUGAGGGUUUCUCAGCAGCAAAGUGUCGGUAUAGUCGGAUUAACUUGAACAAUGAAUGGGAGAGUGCUUUCCGAUUUGCUCAGUUAGCAAAAGAAACACUCUACAAUAGUGUUUUCAUGACUUUCAGUAAAAGGAAAAAAAAAUUAAGAAACUGAUAACGGUAGUCAGAAGAGUGAACAAUAUCAAAUUUACCAAAUUUGAGAUUUUGUAGUCCGAGACCUGAAAACAUAUUAUAUUGCUUAGUCUUAAAGAAACCUAAUGUAAAAAAUUAUUAUCUAUAUUCAUUAUGUUGUGACUGCAACACAACCAUCUUGAAAAUACUGUAAUAUUGCUCAGCCUUGUGUGUGUGUGUGUGUGUGUGUGUGCGUAUGUGCAGCUGGACACUCAAGAGGUCAUUAAAGCACAUUUCCCCAGACCUCCUACUCUUUCCUGCCCUCUUUCCACGGAUCCAUCUUCUCUCUCUCUCUAUGUCUCCUGUCUAAUGACUCUCUCUCUCUACAUCUGCCAUCACUCAGCGUGUGCUUUAUUCAGAGAAAAUACCAACAACAUGCUCUCAGCACUCGCUUCCUUACAGAUCAAGCAGUGAACUGCAUUAACACCACAUCAUCAGCCACGCUUACAUGCAUACAUGCACAACGCUUGAGUGCUGGGACAUAACAACAUCCACAGAGACGCAGGAAUGAGUGUGCACUGAUGAAGGCUGAGAAUGACUGGUCUUGGAUAUGGGCUGGUUUGGAUGACCUCUGACCAUUGACUGUUCUGUAUUCGGUGUGGAUGUGUUAAAAAUGAAGCCAAGAGCGAGGACUGCCCUCAUUCAGCAGGGACUAAAAGAAAUGAGGAUUGACACAAAGAGCCUGGAUCAGUGAUGCUGAGACCGCCGUAAGCCAGUAACACCAGACUGUAAGGACAUUACAAUCAAGGACAUUUACCAUCAAGAGUCAACCAGAUAUGAGGUGGAGGAUUGAUAAUAUAUUACAACACAGGCAUACAAAAGUGUCUAAAAUCCAUUACCUAAAACGAACUCAGUGUCUUCGAACAGACAAAAAUAGAUGUGUCCUUAAAACCUAGCCUGAAACAACCUAGUCUCACAACUCAGACUUUUGACUAUAGGCUUUAGGUCUGGUCCACAUAAAGCUUACAUAAAUCCUUACCCAGAAUGCUGAGACAUGUCUAAAAAACAACAGACUUGAAGUCACUCAUUUUCUAUAGGGAGUAGAACAGGAGCUGCGAACAUAGCUGUUCUAGCAUUUUCAUAGAGGCUUUAUAAAAAAAGAAGAAAAGACAAAAUAUCCAAAAAUUCUUACAUUUUUUAGAAAAGUCAAAUAUUGUUUUUUUUUUUUUUUUUUUUUUUUUUUUUAGAAAAUGUUAUUCUAAGAAACAAGUGAAUUGUUGCUUUGAACAAGCAAAAGAGUCUGCCAAUGGGGUAAGCAAAAAAACAGAAAUGAUUUUACUUAUCCAAUUGGACAUUUUUUCUGAAAAUAAGACUUUUUUUCAUUGUCUAACAAACAACUUGAUUUAUACAUUUUCUAGAUAUUUUGGCUGGAAACAAGACAAAUAAUCUACGUUAUAAAAGCUUUUUUUUCAGUGCAUUUUCUUUUAUUGUUUUUACCUUAUUGUUAUUAUUUUAACCUAUUGUUUUCGGAUGUUAACGGCCAGCUCUGUGCAACUGCCUCUAAUAGAUGCAAAACACUGUCAUUUAAGGAGAUGGUACCAUCUGAAACUGAUGGUACCAUAGACUUUUAUCUAAAAAAACUUCACCUAAGCCAAAACGGAAAUACCCCAAGUCUUUUCCAUCUUUCAGCAUGUUAUUAACUCCAUAUAUGUGGCCAAAGCGAUCCAAUGGCCAUUACAUUCCAGUCCAUCAGAUGGUUUGGCUCAUCCGCGCUCUUUCCACCAGAAGCACACCACACUGAGUUCACUAAUACUGGAUUUGUGUCUCCAACACAGAAAAUCCAAGAAAGAUGAGAAGGAGAAAUGAGGACAGCUAAUCUGUCCUAACUCUGGUGACUACAUCCAUAUACUGCAAAAAGACAAGUUAAACCCCUCAGAUAAUUCUGACACCAAAAAGAGAUGCUUUGCUAACUGUGCUUUUUUUUUUUUUUUUUUUUUAUCUCUGCCUGGACUAAAUAGACAGCAGCGCCCAUUACAGGAUAAGAUACAUGGGCUUAAAUGCCUAACGACUGUCUGUCAAGCACAUUUUGUUCAGCUCGAUGGACAGUCCACAUUGAAAUGAGGUUGCCCGUGAGCCUGUAUGAAAGUUGUGUUAGGGGGCAGGGGCGGAAGAGAGAAAGAGAAUAUAUUAGAUGUGGGAGAGUCCCGUAGUAAUGAAAGAUCAUCACAGCAACAUGGGCUGUUUAAGGACAAACACAGACGCAGGGAGAAAGAAGAGCUCAUGACUUCAACAGCAGCACAAAGAGCCAAAGACGACGUGAAAGAGACGAGGAUGAAGAAGGAAGCGAAAAAGGCACAAUGAAUGCAAUGAUGUUGAAAGUGUAAAGGAUAAGUAGGAACUGUCAGAUCAGUAGAGGAAAUGGGAAAAGGCACAGAAAAAAGGAGAAAGAAGAGAACAAAAAGAAAGAUAUCAACAGGGAAGCAGAGUGUACUCCAAACAGGAUUGCAAUAGUGGAUUGGAUUGCAGGGGCAAGUUGAGGUCGCAGCUAAAGAAAAAGACACGCACAGAGAGAAAUGAAUGUUGUUCACUCAGGGGAAGAGACUCUCAGCUCUACUAAGUCAUAAGGAGGCUGUAAAGACUGUACUGAACUUUGCUGAAUCACCACAUAACUACAAUGUUCAAGGACGCAGAUGUGCUUCACGGGGUAAGUGUUUCCGAAGAUGGCAAAAGAGAGGCAUAAAAGAAAGGAACAAGCAAUAAGAGAGAGACAAAGAAGCCGACAGGUGUGUCCAACAGGAUAGAGAUUUGACAUGCAUCCCACACAUCUGCACUGGCUCUCUUCACUCUCUUGGCAAUGGCUCUAGGGAAUUAGCGAUGCCUCAGGUAACCUGGAAACCGCAAAACACACCCUACAUGCUCAGCACUGGCUGUAUGCCACUGACAAUGAGUUAUACACAGUGGGUUGGUGAAUACGCUUCUUUUAUUGGGAGUGUUUUGAUAAAUGACUAACACAGUGAAAUUCAUCUCACAUGUCUUCAGCAAGUUGUUUAUAAACUAAAUAAAUCAAUCUGUUGGCUGUAAAUGAAUUAACUACACAAUAUGCUGAUUCAUUAAAAAAUCAAAAAAGCCUACAAAAU